AGAGUUUGAUCAUGGCUCAGGAUAAACGCUGGCGGCGUGCCUAACACAUGCAAGUCGAACGCCUUGAGUAAUCAAGGAGUGGCGGACGGGUGAGUAACACGUGGGUUAUCGACCCUUUAGUGAGGAAUACCGGCGAGAAAUCGCCGACAAUACCGCAUACGCUUCUUUCGGGAAGCAAAGCUCGCAAGGGCGCUAGAGGA
rnacentral:rRNA from 1 species